rnacentral:misc_RNA from 1 species
GAUGAAGAACGUAGCGAAAUGCGAUACGUAAUGUGAAUUGCAGAAUUCAGUGAAUCAUCGAAUCUUUGAACGCAUAUUGCGCUCUCUGGUAUUCCGGAGAGCAUGCUUGUUUGAGUAUCAGUAAACACCUCAACUUCCAUAUCUUUUUUGAAAUGGGAGUUGGACUUGAGUGAUCCCAACGCUUUUCCUCACCGAAAAGUGGCGGGUUGCUUGAAAUGCAGGUGCAGCUGGACUUUUCUCUGAGCUAUAAGCAUAUCUAUUUAGUCUGCCUAAAAACAGAUUAUUACCUUUGCUGCAGCUAACAUAAAGGAGAUUAGUUCUUGUGCUGACUGAUGCAGGAUUCACAAAGACAGGCUUCGGCCGACUUUGUAAACUCGAUCUCAAAUCAAGUAAGACUACCCGCUGAACUUAAGCAUAUCAAUAAGCGGAGGA